rnacentral:lncRNA from 10 species
ACCUGCAGUCCCAGCUACUGGGCAGCCUGAAGCAGCAGGAUGGUGUGAACCCAGGAGGUGGAGCUUGCAGUGAGCCGAGGUCGCGCCACCGCACUCCAGCCUGGGCCACACAGCGAGAUUCCGUCAGAAUCAGUUACUUUUCGGGCACAGCCCCAGGCCACUUACUGUGAGCCUUUUUCUUUCUCAACACCACAUUCCCCACAGGGAAAACACAUUUCUCACCUCAAAAGAAGACAAGACAACGAGCAAACAAGAAGGAGCAGCAGGAGGGGUUCUGAGCCGAGGAUGCCGGGCAGACAUGAGGGAGACACGCACCCCCGAAUCCAACCAGUGCCUCGGCACAACGACAAAUGUCUUCACGUCACAGACCUUUAGAGGCUCCUGGGCAGAGCCUGAACCAGGGCUCCUGACUGGUCUGUUUGGCUCACAUGGUGUUGAGAUUUUGCCAUCACUCAAUAUUCAGAUUUCUUAUAAAUAUCCAGAUUUCCAGCUUCUCUUGGAAAAUCAGAAAAAAACAGCACUGAACUCCUAGGCCCACAAGGCACUCCCCAGUGAACAGAUGAAACUGUCCUCUGCUGCGGGGCAGGAGUCUCCAGGUCACCCCCAUCCCUCCCCACCUGCCUGGACCCUGAAGAAGCCUUCUGAGUCUGUGGCUCAACGUGCGAUGUGCAGUGCAAGGGCCUGCCCCGUAGCCUGCCCCGUAGGCUGCCCCAUAGCCUGCCCCGUAAGCUGCCCCGUAGCCUGCCCCGUAGGCUGCCCCGUAGGCUCCAUGGCCACUGCCCCACAAGGCCUGUCUCCACAGGAAUGGGAAGCGGACAGGGAGACGGGCAGCAGCUCACAUGCUGGGACAACGCAGUGUUCAAUCCAUUCUCCAUCCAGCAGCUCCAGACAUCUUUCCAGAACACAAACCUGACCCCAUCACCUCUCUGCUUAGCCACUGGCUUAAACUGCCAAUGGUUUGCCUGCAUGUAAAAUAAAGCCAUUCUUUACCAUU